UUCUGAUGUCAAAUACCAUCUGGCAUUAAUUAUGUGAAGUUGUUGAAGGAAGGAUUGAAAUGGGAGGUGUAAGGAACCCAGUCAGACUAACUGGUAAAUUACCAGUCAAGAUAAGCUGCAAACCGAGUGGAAUAUUUGAUUUGAUAAAAUUAUGCUCCAGCUUUUCAAAAUCUUUUUCGAGAAAAUGAAUUCAUAGCAUACGCAACGGGGACAGCUAACUGGCACCUGAGAUUUACUAGGCAUGGUUGCACCAGACAACGAUACCAGGUUUAUAUUGCAGUUUCAGAAAUGACCAUUAUUAAUUUUCAGGCCAUAAUGGUGGUUCUGGCUAGGACUUUUAGUGCCCAACUAUGAAGUUGCAGCUUUCACCCGUCACCUUUGGCCAUCAUACGAAUAUAGAGUUCGAGAUAAUCAUAGGCCUUUGGAGAUAGAAUUCUAAACUCAAUAGUGCUCCAAAGAUUGUCAUUUUUUCCAAGUUCUGCAAAUAUCUGUUUCAUUGGUAACAGUUCUAAGUUACUAACUAGUAUCAGCAGACUCUGCACCAACAUCUGCAACUUUUUUGGUUGCUUUGCUAGUA